AACGCUAGCUACAGGCUUAACACAUGCAAGUCGAGGGGCAGCAUAAAAGUAGCAAUACUUUGGUGGCGACCGGCGCACGGGUGAGUAACGCGUAUGCAACCUACCUAUCAGAGGGGGAUAACCCGGCGAAAGUCGGACUAAUACCGCAUAAAACAGGGGCACCGCAUGGUGCUAUUUGUUAAAAAUUUAUUGCUGAUAGAUGGGCAUGCGUUCCAUUAGGUAGUUGGAGAGGUAACGGCUCACCAAGCCUACGAUGGAUAGGGGAACUGAGAGGUUGGUCCCCCACACUGGUACUGAGACACGGACCAGACUCCUACGGGAGGCAGCAGUGAGGAAUAUUGGUCAAUGGGCGAGAGCCUGAACCAGCCAAGUCGCGUGAAGGAAGAAGGAUCUAUGGUUCGUAAACUUCUUUUGCAGGGGAAUAAAGUGCAGGACGUGUCCUGUUUUGUAUGUACCCUGAGAAUAAGGAUCGGCUAACUCCGUGCCAGCAGCCGCGGUAAUACGGAGGAUCCGAGCGUUAUCCGGAUUUAUUGGGUUUAAAGGGUGCGUAGGUGGUUUAAUAAGUCAGCGGUGAAAGUUUGCAGCUUAACUGUAAAAAUGCCGUUGAAACUGUUAGACUUGAGUGUAAAUGAGGUAGGCGGAAUGCGUGGUGUAGCGGUGAAAUGCUUAGAUAUCACGAAGAACUCUGAUUG
rnacentral:rRNA from 1 species